rnacentral:RNase_MRP_RNA from 1 species
UUCAUGACUUGAAGAGUCGUCGAUCGAAGCUUACAGAAUAACAACAAACACUAGCUUUGGGUUGAAAGUCUCCCACCAGGUUCAUAUUUGGAAAACAAAUUGAGAUUUAAAAAUUAUAUUCAAUAAAUUUCUAGAUCAACUCAAUAAGGCAAGGAAUUGGGUCUUUUGAUUCAACUUCCUAGCUUUUUUCGUCCUUGGACUUUUCACUGUUGAACAAACAGUGAGGUCUUUGGUUGCACAGAUCCUUCUUAGAAGUGUAUCCUUUUGGUACGGAAUAAUUGUCGAUAGUUAUUCAAACCAUAGUUAUGACGAUUGAUUUGGGAAAAAAAAAACUUGCUUCGGUGAGGUUUUUAGUACCGGAUUAACCCAAUGGAGCUUAUUCUCAAGGCCAUGA